GACGAACGCUGGCGGCGUGCUUAACACAUGCAAGUCGAACGCUGAAGCUCAGCUUUUGUUGGGUGGAUGAGUGGCGAACGGGUGAGUAACACGUGAGUAACCUGCCUCCUUCUUUGGAAUAACGCCCGGAAACGGGUGCUAAUACUGGAUAUUCACUGGUCUUCGCAUGGGGGUUGGUGGAAAGGGUUUUUCUGGUGGGGGAUGGGCUCGCGGCCUAUCAGCUUGUUGGUGGGGUGAUGGCCUACCAAGGCUUUGACGGGUAGCCGGCCUGAGAGGGUGACCGGUCACAUUGGGACUGAGAUACGGCCCAGACUCCUACGGGAGGCAGCAGUGGGGAAUAUUGCACAAUGGGCGCAAGCCUGAUGCGGCGACGCCGCGUGAGGGAUGGAGGCCUUCGGGUUGUGAACCUCUUUCGCUCAUGGUCAAGCCGCAACAAUGGUUGUGGUGAGGGUAGUGGGUAAAGAAGCGCCGGCUAACUACGUG
rnacentral:rRNA from 1 species